GAGGAGAUAUGAGGAGGAGAUAUGAGGAGGAGAUAGGAGGAGGAGAUAUGAGGAGGAGAUAGGAGGAGGAGAUAUGAGGAGGAGAUAUUAGGAGGAGGAGAUGGAUCAUAAGGAGAGGAAGGGUUAAUAAAAAUGUCCGUCUCGUUUAGUUUCUGUCUAAACCCAAACACCCUGAAACCGGCCAAUCAGCACGCACUCACGCUGUGAUGUCACUGACAGGACCUUCAGCUCCGUCAUCAUAUCAUCUAUUUACUAUUACGUCUUACUUAUUUAUUUAUUUAUUUAAUUAUUUGUUUUGUACAAGUUGAAUAUCAUGCCAGAGGUCAGAUUACAGCCUUCUGAUUGGUGGACUGGAGGUGGGAGGGUACCUGCUGGGCCAGAGGUCAGAUUACAGCCUUCUGAUUGGUGGACUGGAGGUGGGAGGGUACCUGCUGGGCCAGAGGUCAGAUUACAGCCUUCUGAUUGGUGGACUGGAGGUGGGAGGGUACCUGCUGGGCCAGAGGUCAGAUUACAGCCUUCUGAUUGGUGGACUGGAGGUGGGAGGGUACCUGCUGGGCCAGAGGUCAGAUUACAGCCUUCUGAUUGGUGGACUGGAGGUGGGCGGGAGCUGACCCUCCAAUCAGAGUUCAUAUCAGACUCUAAAACCAUAUCAGGACCAGCUGGUCAGUCUUGCUGUGUUUCGGCGUUGAAGCAGCUCAAUCCAAAGCCAAUCAGAUGCUAGCUUUAGUAUCCAUGGCAACAGUAUUUGUGUUUGAUGUUUCUUUGGUUGGUUAGUUAGUUAGAAGAGUUAGGAAGAGUUAUGUGUUUGUUUUAGUUUACUAUCGUCGUCAUGGAGCUGAGCAUGACAGCCGUUACCAUGACAACCAGACCAUGUGACACACACACACACAGAGACACACACAGAUACACACAAACACACCCUCUCUGUCUCCUCACCUGUCCUGCUCUGCACCAAUCGUCUUCCUUUAGAGUGACAAGCCAAUGAGAUGGUCCCGCUGUAUGAUGUCAUAUGAUACUUGUUUGUGAUUGGUUGAUUUCUCCUGCCUGAAAAUGUCCUGAUGUUUAAUAGACAAUAAAAAACUACGAAAUUAAA